UCGUAUAAACCGGGGGCACAAAGGGCUGUCGCUGACCCUUCCAGGUCGUGCACGUCCGAGUGCUCUCACACAUCCAUCUCACCCUUUUGUGCACCACCGCGUGAGCCCUCCCUCGAAAAGAAAGGGGGGCUUGCGUUUUUAAAUACAAAUACUAGACAUGGUGUAGAAUGUAUCAUCCGUUUGCGAUCACACGCAUACAUAAUAAAUA
rnacentral:misc_RNA from 1 species